ACCUGGGGCACCAAUCUAGCGCCGAGUGGACACCGCUGUGCCCGUAAAACGUGUGUCACCCCGUGCGGCCAAGAGUAUGGGGCGCAACCCGAUCCGCGGAAUUCAUUUCGUUUUUACAGGGCGCGCGCCCACAUCGCGUUCUGCCAUUCUUCCCAGGGUGCUCUGCGGCGGAAAAACACGUCACAGACGCCGCCCGCGUUCUUAGAGCUACAUCGGUUACUAAGUUUGGCCCUUCCCGGUCACCCUUCCCCAUUACCGACCUCGUUUGGCUGAAGGAUGGUUUCCAGAUCCCUCGUCUGAGAAAUACCAGACUAUGCCAGGCGUUAGAGUGGAGUCAGUUGGCUUCUGCUCCAACAGCUGCGGAGUUAAGAGCUUUUCUUGACGAAGUCGCUGGCUGGAAGCCUUGUGUAGGACGACCUAUUUCUGUCUUGGAAGUGAAGGUGUAGCCAGAACAGUCAGUGGUAAACCCUAUCAAAAGCUGUACCAUGCACCGUGUGACCAUAAAUUGCCCUCUUCACCCCAGUCAGCAUUUGCAGCAGAAGACCUCUGUAUGUUUCAUCUAAGAAAAUCCCUCAGUUUCGCAGAGUCAUAUCACGUUUCACAGUUAAGACAACACUGGACUGGAGAGGUUGCAGUGGGUUAAAUUUUUGAAGUGGCUUUUGCAGUCCCCUUUUGGAAAUUCUGUAUCUGCUACAUUUUGUCACAGCAAAUAUUUCGAAUCCAAAAUAUAAACAUAAAGGCCCGGGGAUUUGGCUCAGUGGUUUCGCCGCCUGCUGCGCAAGCUCAAGGACCCGAGUUCGAUCCCUGGUAACAACAACAAAAAAAAUUGAGACAAAAUAUAAACGUAAAACAUCCAAAUGAACGAAAGGAACGAAACAAAAUCCGUUGGACAAGGGAAGCAAAUCUGCAUGGAUAAAAUGAGGUUUGCUGUCUUUACAGCAUACAAGCCACUUCUUUUACAAGAAGAUCAGAGUUACAUAUUUCCAUCCCUGCCACAGAAGAAACUAAAAGCUCAUAACAGAAGUAUUUUAUUUUCAGUAGCUUUCAGCUAUUUUUUAACUGCAACUCACAGUAGAAAUAUACUUUAUAACCUAAUAAAUAUAUAGUACACAA